UACGAAGGGGGCUAGCGUUGCUCGGAAUUACUGGGCGUAAAGCGCCCGUAGGCGGAUCUUUAAGUCAGGGGUGAAAUCCUGGAGCUCAACUCCAGAACUGCCUUUGAUACUGAGGACCUUGAGUUCGGGAGAGGUGAGUGGAACUGCGAGUGUAGAGGUGAAAUUCGUAGAUAUUCGCAAGAACACCAGUGGCGAAGGCGGCUCACUGGCCCGAUACUGACGCUGAGGUGCGAAAGCGUGGGGAGCAAACAGG
rnacentral:rRNA from 1 species